UACGGGGGGGGCAAGCGUUGUUCGGAAUUACUGGGCGUAAAGGGCUCGUAGGCGGCCAACUAAGUCAGACGUGAAAUCCCUCGGCUCAACUGAGGAACUGCACGGGAUACUGGAAGACUUGAGUUCGGGAGAGGGAAGCGGAAUUCCGGGUGUAGCGGUGAAAUGCGUAGAUAUCCGGAGGAACACCGGUGGCGAAGGCGGCUUCCUGGACCGAUUACUGACGCUGAGGCGCGAAAGCUAGGGGAGCAAACGGG
rnacentral:rRNA from 1 species